rnacentral:snRNA from 11 species
GUGCCUUAAACUAAUGAGUAAGGAAAAUUACGAGCCCUGUUAACGCUUGGCUCAGCUUCCUCAUUGCAGUCGGUUAUCCGGCUGCGUAAGCGCUAAUUUUUCAUAGAGGUACAGGUCGUCCCCUCGUAGUUACCCUGCCUACUUUGCGGGGUGCUCGGGCGUGCUGCGAUUUGCCUC